GGGAAGUGGAAGCAAGGGCAGAAUGGGGAAGACUGCUCCAAGAUCCUGCCUGAACAAUCCCCAGGGUUCCAGGCUCCCUCCCCUCCCCCAGUAACCCACUCCAGGCUAUCCCAGGGUCUCCCUCCUGCCCCCAGUCUGCCCUGACUCCUUCCACUACCUUACUAUCCACAGUUACUCCUGCUCCCACAACUCCCCUGGCUCCCGCAUUCCGCUCCCCUUUCUCCUGCUUUCCUCAGUCAUGCAAAUGGAAAACAAGUGUCCACCUCAAGGAAACGACUCAUGCCAGGGGACCUGAGACUGACCCAAAGCCCACAGCUCCACAGGAAGUUGGUAAUUGAAAAGGCGAGUGGUGAUAUGCCUGAAGAGAGAGCACCAAAGAGCUGAUUCCCAACCCCAGAAGAGGAUGGCUGCCUUUUGAGAAGAAGGACUCAUACUCUGGGGUACAACUGUUUCAACACAGCCCCUAUCUACUCCGUCCCAGAGGCUGGUCCAGAUUAGAAGGUGGAAAAAACGAACUCGAGACGACAUGUUCGCCAAGCUCAUGCAGUCCUCCUGCACUGAUAGGGCCCAGCUGAAUGCAUGGAGGCAAACAACUGUGG